rnacentral:rRNA from 1 species
AGCGAACGCUGGCGGCAGGCCUAACACAUGCAAGUCGAACGGACCCUUCGGGGUUAGUGGCGGACGGGUGAGUAACACGUGGGAACGUGCCUUUAGGUUCGGAAUAGCUCCUGGAAACGGGUGGUAAUGCCGAAUGUGCCCUUCGGGGGAAAGAUUUAUCGCCUUUAGAGCGGCCCGCGUCUGAUUAGCUAGUUGGUGAGGUAAUGGCUCACCAAGGCGACGAUCAGUAGCUGGUCUGAGAGGAUGACCAGCCACAUUGGGACUGAGACACGGCCCAAACUCCUACGGGAGGCAGCAGUGGGGAAUUUUGCGCAAUGGGCGAAAGCCUGACGCAGCCAUGCCGCGUGGAUGAUGAAGGUCUUAGGAUUGUAAAAUCCUUUCACCGGUGAAGAUAAUGACUGUAGCCUGAGAAGAAGCCCCGGCUAACUUCGUGCCAGCCGCCGCCGUAAUAC